rnacentral:tRNA from 1 species
CGCGGUCCGGGUGCCGCGGGCAGACGGGCGGGCCGUCGGCCGGCCCGCCCGGACGAGCAGAGCCCUCGGCCCGGUCGAUCGGGUCGACCGGGCCGAGG